UACGAAGGGGGCUAGCGUUGUUCGGAAUCACUGGGCGUAAAGGGCGCGUAGGCGGCCGAUCAAGUCGGGGGUGAAAGCCUGUGGCUCAACCACAGAAUUGCCUUCGAUACUGUUUGGCUUGAGACCGGAAGAGGUUAGUGGAACUGCGAGUGUAGAGGUGAAAUUCGUAGAUAUUCGCAAGAACACCAGUGGCGAAGGCGGUUGCCUGGAGCUUUGCUGACGCUGAGGCGCGAAAGCGUGGGGAGCGAUCCGG
rnacentral:rRNA from 1 species